rnacentral:rRNA from 1 species
AUUGAACGCUGGCGGCAUGCUUUACACAUGCAAGUCGAACGGUAACAGGCCUUCGGGUGCUGACGAGUGGCGAACGGGUGAGUAAUGCAUCGGAACGUACCCAGAGGUGGGGGAUAACGCAGCGAAAGCUGUGCUAAUACCGCAUGUGAUCUGAGGAUGAAAGCGGGGGACCGAGCAGCAAUGUUUGGCCUCGCGCCUUUGGAGCGGCCGAUGUCGGAUUAGCUAGUUGGUGGGGUAAAGGCCUACCAAGGCGACGAUCCGUAGCUGGUCUGAGAGGACGACCAGCCACACUGGGACUGAGACACGGCCCAGAGUCCUACGGGAGGCAGCAGUGGGGAAUUUUGGACAAUGGGCGCAAGCCUGAUCCAGCAAUGCCGCGUGCGGGAAGAAGGCCUUCGGGUUGUAAACCGCUUUUGGCAGGAACGAAACGGUGUCCGCUAAUACCGGGCGCUAAUGACGGUACCUGCAGAAUAAGCACCGGCUAACUACGUG